GAUGAAGAACGUAGCGAAAUGCGAUAAGUAGUGUGAAUUGCAGAAUUCAGUGAAUCAUCGAAUCUUUGAACGCACAUUGCGCCCUUUGGUAUUCCAAAGGGCAUGCCUGUUCGAGCGUCAUUUGUACCCUCAAGCUUUGCUUGGUGUUGGGCGUCUUGUCUCUAGCUUUGCUGGAGACUCGCCUUAAAGUAAUUGGCAGCCGGCCUACUGGUUUCGGAGCGCAGCACAAGUCGCACUCUCUAUCAGCAAAGGUCUGGCAUCCAUUAAGCCUUUUUUUCAACUUUUGACCUCGGAUCAGGUAGGGAUACCCGCUGAACUUAAGCGUAUCAAUAAGCGGAGGA
rnacentral:misc_RNA from 1 species